UACGAAGGGGGGCUAGCGUUGCUCGGAAUCACUGGGCGUAAAGGGCGCGUAGGCGGCUUUGUAAGUCGGGGGGUGAAAGCCUGUGGCUCAACCACAGAAUUGCCUUCGAUACUGCAUGGCUUGAGACCGGAAGAGGUAAGUGGAACUGCGAGUGUAGAGGUGAAAUUCGUAGAUAUUCGCAAGAACACCAGUGGCGAAGGCGGCUUACUGGUCCGGUUCUGACGCUGAGGCGCGAAAGCGUGGGGAGCAAACAGG
rnacentral:rRNA from 1 species